rnacentral:rRNA from 1 species
AUUGAACGCUGGCGGCAGGCUUAACACAUGCAAGUCGAGCGAGCGGCGGACGGGUGAGUAAUGUCUGGGCAACUGCCUGAUGGAGGGGGAUCACUACUGGAAACGGUAGCUAAUACCGCAUACCAUCAGAUGUGCCCAGAUGGGAUUAGCUAGUAGGUGGGGUAAUGGCCCACCUGGGCGGCGAACCCUAGCCGGUCUGAGAGGAUGACCAGCGAAACUGGUACUGAGACACGGUCCAGACUCCUACGGGAGGCAGCAGUGGGGAAUAUUGCACAAUGGGCGAAAGACGGAUGCAGCCAUGCCGCGUGUGGGAAGAAGGCCUUCGGGUUGUAAAGCACUUUCAGCGAGGAGGCGUUACUCGCAGAAGAAGCACCGGCUAACUCCGUGCCAGUAGCCGCGGUAAUUC